UACGGGGGGGUAAGCGUUGCUCGGAAUCACUGGGCGUAAAGGGUGCGUAGGCGGGUCUUUUAAGUCAGGGGUGAAAUCCUGGAGCUCAACUCCAGAACUGCCUUUGAUACUGAGGAUCUUGAGUUCGGGAGAGGUGAGUGGAACUGCGAGUGUAGAGGUGAAAUUCGUAGAUAUUCGCAAGAACACCAGUGGCGAAGGCGGCUCACUGGCCCGAUACUGACGCUGAGGCACGAAAGCGUGGGGAGCAAACAGG
rnacentral:rRNA from 1 species